AUUGAACGCUAGCGGGAUGCUUUACACAUGCAAGUCGAACGAGUGGCGGACGGGUGAGUAAUGUAUCGGAACGUGCCUAAUAGCGGGGGAUAACUACUGGAAACGGUGGCUAAUACCGCAUACUAUUGGAUCGGCCGAGAUGGGAUUAGCUAGUGGGUGGGGUAAAGGCUCACCAAGGCUACGAUCCCUAGCUGGUCUGAGAGGAUGACCAGCAACGCUGGAACUUAGACACGGUCCAGACUCCUACGGGAGGCAGCAGUGGGGAAUAUUGCACAAUGGGCGCAAGCCUGAUUCAGCCAUGCCGUGUGUAUGAAGAAGGCCUUCGGGUUGUAAAGUACUUUCAGCUGGGAGGCGUUACCCGCAGAAGAAGCACCGGCUAACUCCGUGCCAGCAGCCGCGGUAAUAC
rnacentral:rRNA from 1 species